GGAUGAACGCUGGCGGUAUGCUUAACACAUGCAAGUCGAACGGUCUUUUCGGAGAUAGUGGCGGACGGGUGAGUAACGCGUAAGAAUCUACCUUCAGGUUGGGGACAACCACUGGAAACGGUGGCUAAUACCCAAUGUGCCGAGAGGUGAAAGGCUUGCUGCCUGAAGAAGAGCUUGCGUCUGAUUAGCUAGUUGGUGGGGUAAGAGCCUACCAAGGCGACGAUCAGUAGCUGGUCUGAGAGGAUGAUCAGCCACACUGGGACUGAGACACGGCCCAGACUCCUACGGGAGGCAGCAGUGGGGAAUUUUCCGCAAUGGGCGAAAGCCUGACGGAGCAAUACCGCGUGAGGGAGGAAGGCUCUUGGGUUGUAAACCUCUUUUCUCAGGGAAGAAAAAAAUGACGGUACCUGAGGAAUAAGCAUCGGCUAACUCCGUGCCAGCAGCCGCGGUAAUACGGAGGAUGCAAGCGUUAUCCGGAAUGAUUGGGCGUAAAGGGUCCGCAGGUGGCAUUGUAAGUCUGCUGUUAAAGAGUCACGCUCAACGUGAUAAAAGCAGUGGAAACUACAAAGCUAGAGUAUGGUCGGGGCAGAGGGAAUUCCUGGUGUAGCGGUGAAAUGCGUAGAUAUCAGGAAGAACACCGGUGGCGAAGGCGCUCUGCUAGGCCAAAACUGACACUGAGGGACGAAAGCUAGGGGAGCGAAUGGGAUUAGAUACCCCAGUAGUCCUAGCCGUAAACGAUGGAUACUAGGCGUAGCUCGUAUCGACCCGAGCUGUGCCGUAGCUAACGCGUUAAGUAUCCCGCCUGGGGAGUACGCAGGCAACUGUGAAACUCAAAU
rnacentral:rRNA from 1 species